UCGCGGGGUGGAGCAGUUGGCAGCUCGUCGGGCUCAUAACCCGAAGGUCACAGGUUCAAGUCCUGUCCCCGCAAU
rnacentral:tRNA from 2 species